CAGCCGCCGCGGUAAUACGAAGGGGGCUAGCGUUGUUCGGAUUUACUGGGCGUAAAGGGCGCGUAGGCGGACUGAUAAGUCAGGGGUGAAAUCCCAAGGCUCAACCUUGGAACUGCCUUUGAUACUGUUUGUCUUGAGUUCGAGAGAGGUAAGUGGAACUGCGAGUGUAGAGGUGAAAUUCGUAGAUAUUCGCAAGAACACCAGUGGCGAAGGCGGCUUACUGGCUCGAAACUGACGCUGAGGCGCGAAAGCGUGGGGAGCGAACAGGAUUAGAUACCCCUGUAGUCCCUGUCUCUUAUAC
rnacentral:rRNA from 1 species